UAAGGAAUAUUGGUCAAUGGACGCAAGUCUGAACCAGCCAUGCCGCGUGAAGGAUGAAGGUCCUCUGGAUUGUAAACUUCUUUUAUCUGGGACGAAAACGGGAUUUUUAUCUCAAUUGACGGUACCAGAGGAAUAAGCACCGGCUAACUCCGUGCCAGCAGCCGCGGUAAUACGGAGGGUGCGCGCGUUAUCCGGAUUUACUGGGUUUAAAGGGUGCGUAGGUGGGCUUAUAAGUCAGUGGUGAAAUCUCCGAGCUUAACUUGGAAACUGCCGUUGAUACUAUAGGUCUUGAAUUAUCUGGAGGUUAGCGCAAUAUGUCAUGUAGCGGUGAAAUGCUUAGAUAUGACAUAGAACACCAAUUGCGAAGGCAGCUUACUACAUAUAAAUUGACGCUGAGGCACGAAAGCGUGGGGAUCAAACA
rnacentral:rRNA from 1 species